UACGGAGGGCGCGAGCGUUAAUCGGAAUUACUGGGCGUAAAGCGCGCGUAGGCUGUUGUGUAAGUUGGGGGUGAAAUCCCACGGCUCAACCGUGGAACAGCCCUUGAUACUGCGCGACUUGAAUCCGGGAGAGGGUGGCGGAAUUCCAGGUGUAGGAGUGAAAUCCGUAGAUAUCUGGAGGAACAUCAGUGGCGAAGGUGGCCACCUGGACCGGUAUUGACGCUGAGGCGCGAAAGCGUGGGGAGCAAACAGG
rnacentral:rRNA from 1 species